AAGUCGUAACAAGGUUUCCGUAGGUGAACCUGCGGAAGGAUCAUUAACAAAAGAUGGGGGUGAUGGGAUCGUGGGAGUGCGAGAGUGCUGUCACAAUCCUCGUCCCACCCAAGUUUGCCCCGAGCUGGGUCCGCCCGGCUCUGGUUAUAUGUGAAAGCAUAUAUAUGUACGCUUGAUCGUUUGACAUGUCACAAAACAUCAAAUUACAACUUUUAACAAUGGAUCUCUUGGCUCUUGCAACGAUGAAGAACGCAGUGAAAUGCGAAAAGUAAUGCGAUUUGCACGAACCUGUGAGUCAUCGAGUCUUUGAACGCACCUUGCACUGCAUGAGCGAUUGUGCAGUAUGCCUGUUUGAGAAGCAGCUUAAUAUAUCCAUUAGUGGGACUUGUCGGGUGAUACAGCUGUAUCUCUGAUUAAAGCGAGUAGGGAGGGCUGGGUGUGAAUCCUGGACAUUGUGUGUCGGGGCGCAAGCCAUGUCACAACUAAGGGCUGAAGCAUCAGUCUCAUCCCACCAAAACACCAUCUCAAUAUCAGCUCUCAAAUCAGGUAGGACUACCCGCUGAACUUAG
rnacentral:rRNA from 1 species